UUCCGGUUGAUCCUGCCGGACCUGACUGCUAUCGGAUUGAUACUAAGCCAUGCGAGUCAUUGUAGCAAUACAAGGCAUACGGCUCAGUAACGCGUAGUCAACCUAACCUAUGGACGGGAAUAACCUCGGGAAACUGAGAAUAAUGCCCGAUAGAACACUAUACCUGGAAUGGUUUGUGUUCCAAAUGAUUUAUCGCCGUAGGAUGGGACUGCGGCCUAUCAGUUUGUUGGUGAGGUAAUGGCCCACCAAGACUAUUACAGGUACGGGCUCUGAGAGGAGUAGCCCGGAGAUGGGUACUGAGACACGGACCCAGGCCCUAUGGGGCGCAGCAGGCGAGAAAACUUUGCAAUGUGCGAAAGCACGACAAGGUUAAUCCGAGUGAUUUGUGCUAAACGAAUCUUUUGU
rnacentral:rRNA from 1 species